rnacentral:rRNA from 1 species
AUUGAACGCUGGCGGCAUGCUCUACACAUGCAAGUCGAACGGUAACAGGCCGCAAGGUGCUGACGAGUGGCGAACGGGUGCGUAAUGCAUCGGAACGUGCCCAGUCGUGGGGGAUAACUACUCGAAAGAGUAGCUAAUACCGCAUACGAUCUAUGGAUGAAAGCGGGGGACCGUAAGGCCUCGCGCGAUUGGAGCGGCCGAUGUCAGAUUAGGUAGUUGGUGGGGUAAAGGCUCACCAAGCCAACGAUCUGUAGCUGGUCUGAGAGGACGACCAGCCACACUGGGACUGAGACACGGCCCAGACUCCUACGGGAGGCAGCAGUGGGGAAUUUUGGACAAUGGGCGCAAGCCUGAUCCAGCAAUGCCGCGUGCAGGAAGAAGGCCUUCGGGUUGUAAACUGCUUUUGUACGGAACGAAACGGCUCUGGUUAAUACCCGGGGCUAAUGACGGUACCGUAAGAAUAAGCACCGGCUAACUACGUG